GACAGAGGUGCCAAGCGUUAGGCGGAAUCACUGGGCUUAAAGCGUGUGUAGGCGGAUGCCUAAGUACCUUGUGAAAUCCCACGGCUCAACCGUGGAACUGCUGGGUAUACUGGGUGUCUUGGGUCAGCUAGGGGUUGCCGGAACAAAUGGUGGAGCGGUGAAAUGCGUAGAUAUCAGUCGGAACACCGGUGGCGAAGGCGGCUUCUUGGGCCGUACCUGACGCUGAGGCGCGAAAGCCAGGGGAGCGAACGGG
rnacentral:rRNA from 1 species